AUUGAACGCUGGCGGCAUGCCUUACACAUGCAAGUCGAACGGCAGCACGGAGCUUGCUCUGGUGGCGAGUGGCGAACGGGUGAGUAAUAUAUCGGAACGUACCCUAGAGUGGGGGAUAACGUAGCGAAAGUUACGCUAAUACCGCAUACGAUCUAAGGAUGAAAGUGGGGGAUCGCAAGACCUCAUGCUCGUGGAGCGGCCGAUAUCUGAUUAGCUAGUUGGUAGGGUAAAAGCCUACCAAGGCAUCGAUCAGUAGCUGGUCUGAGAGGACGACCAGCCACACUGGAACUGAGACACGGUCCAGACUCCUACGGGAGGCAGCAGUGGGGAAUUUUGGACAAUGGGCGAAAGCCUGAUCCAGCAAUGCCGCGUGAGUGAAGAAGGCCUUCGGGUUGUAUAGCUCUUUUGUCAGGGAAGAAACGGUGGGAGCUAAUAUCUCUUGCUAAUGACGGUACCUGAAGAAUAAGCACCGGCUAACUACGUGCCAGCAGCCGCGGUAAUACGUAGGGUGCAAGCGUUAAUCGGAAUUACUGGGCGUAAAGCGUGCGCAGGCGGUUUUGUAAGUCUGAUGUGAAAUCCCCGGGCUCAACCUGGGAAUUGCAUUGGAGACUGCAAGGCUAGAAUCUGGCAGAGGGGGGUAGAAUUCCACGUGUAGCAGUGAAAUGCGUAGAUAUGUGGAGGAACACCGAUGGCGAAGGCAGCCCCCUGGGUCAAGAUUGACGCUCAUGCACGAAAGCGUGGGGAGCAAACAGGAUUAGAUACCCUGGUAGUCCACGCCCUAAACGAUGUCUACUAGUUGUCGGGUCUUAAUUGACUUGGUAACGCAGCUAACGCGUGAAGUAGACCGCCUGGGGAGUACGGUCGCAAGAUUAAAACUCAAAGGAAUUGACGGGGACCCGCACAAGCGGUGGAUGAUGUGGAUUAAUUCGAUGCAACGCGAAAAACCUUACCUACCCUUGACAUGGCUGGAAUCCUUGAGAGAUCAGGGAGUGCUCGAAAGAGAACCAGUACACAGGUGCUGCAUGGCUGUCGUCAGCUCGUGUCGUGAGAUGUUGGGUUAAGUCCCGCAACGAGCGCAACCCUUGUCAUUAGUUGCUACGAAAGGGCACUCUAAUGAGACUGCCGGUGACAAACCGGAGGAAGGUGGGGAUGACGUCAAGUCCUCAUGGCCCUUAUGGGUAGGGCUUCACACGUCAUACAAUGGUACAUACAGAGCGCCGCCAACCCGCGAGGGGGAGCUAAUCGCAGAAAGUGUAUCGUAGUCCGGAUUGUAGUCUGCAACUCGACUGCAUGAAGUUGGAAUCGCUAGUAAUCGCGGAUCAGCAUGUCGCGGUGAAUACGUUCCCGGGUCU
rnacentral:rRNA from 1 species